rnacentral:rRNA from 1 species
AUACGGAGGGUGCAAGCGUUACUCGGAAUCACUGGUCGUAAAGCGCGCGCAGGCGGCCCGAUAAGUUGGAUGUGAAAGCCUACGGCUCAACCGUAGAACUGCAUCCAAAACUAUUUGGCUAGAGUGUGGGAGAGGAAGAUGGAAUUAGUUGUGUAGGGGUAAAAUCCGUAGAGAUAACUAGGAAUACCAAAAGCGAAGGCAAUCUUCUGGAACACUACUGACGCUGAGGCGCGAAUGCGUGGGGAGCAAACGGGAUUAGAAACCCCAGUAGUCC